GGGCGAUUAGCUCAGUUGGUAGAGCAGCUGACUCUUAAUCAGCGGGUCGCAGGUUCGAGUCCUGCAUCGCCCA
rnacentral:tRNA from 1 species